AUGGUCAUAGGUUAAUGGUAAACCGUUCGUCUUCCAAACGAAUUAUACCGAUUCGAGUUCGGUUGGCCGUA